GCCAACGACCAUACCACGUUGAAUCCACCAGUUCUCGUCCGAUCACUGAAGUUAAGCAACGUCGGGCGUAGUUAGUACUUGGAUGGGUGACCGCUUGGGAACACUACGUGCCGUUGGCUUUU
rnacentral:rRNA from 1 species